rnacentral:misc_RNA from 1 species
CCUCGCCCAACCAAGCGUCAGCCUCCACUUCCCCUGCUCUCGUGACUUCCCCCAACUCCCUUUGCUACAAUGGAGAACCCCCAACUCCUCCUGCUUCUGAGCGAAACCCCUCUCCCCCAUCCCCUCUACUUCAGCGCAAUACCCCUCUCCACCGCCGCUGCUCUGCUACCCACUUCACUCCCUCCGAAUUCCUCAGCCAUCACCCUGCAACUUAUGUGUUGUAGGUGGUUUGCAUAAGAUUCAGUUAAGUGGUGGAUUCGAUGUUUAUUGUUGUUAUUGUAGUGCCAUCAUUGCUUCUGCAGUGGUGUAUUCUGCAAUUCGCUGGGAUUUAGAUAAUUGUUUUGUGGG